UAGGGAAUAUUGCGCAAUGGACGCAAGUCUGACGCAGCAACGCCGCGUGGGUGAUGACGCUUCUUGGAGUGUAAAACCCUGUCAGUGGGGAAGAAACGUAUCGGUAGUAACUGACCGGUACUUGACGGUACCUACAGAGGAAGUCCCGGCUAACUCCGUGCCAGCAGCCGCGGUAAUACGGGGGGGACUAGCGUUGUUCGGAUUUACUGGGCGUAAAGGGCGCGUAGGCGGACUUUCAAGUCGGGUGUGAAAGCCUUGAGCUCAACUCAGGGCUUGCAUUCGAUACUGUUGGUCUUGAGUACAGGAGAGGAAAGUGGAAUUCCAGGUGUAGCGGUGAAAUGCGUAGGUAUCUGGAAGAACACCAGUAGCGAAGGCGGCUUUCUGGACUGAUACUGACGCUAAAGCGCGAAGGCUUGGGGAGCAAACAG
rnacentral:rRNA from 1 species